rnacentral:piRNA from 1 species
CCUAAAUCUUGUGUCUCUGGAC